rnacentral:tRNA from 1 species
GGCCCGGUCGUCAAGCGGUUAAGACACCGCCCUUUCACGGCGGGUUCAUGGGUUCGAAUCCCAUCCGGGUCACCA